UUCUCUGUGUAACCCUGGUUGUCUUAGAAACCCUCUGUUGACGAGGCUGACUUCAAACUUAGAGAUUCAUCUGUCUUUGCCACCUGAAUGCUGGGAUUAUAGGUGUCUGUCACCCCAGUCAACGUCAACAAUUUUAAGUCAAAUAUAGAAGUUUAAUGGCGCAAACAACCAUAUGUUUAGUAUGAAAACUGGUCAUAUUUAUGCACAACUACUUGGAACUUCAAUGGCAGAAGUACUGCUUCCAACACUAAAAAGAAGAAAAGUGUUUUGCCUGCAUGCAUGUCUGCAUACUGAGUACAUGCUUCAUGCACACAGAGUCCAGCAGAGAUCAUUGGGUGUAAUGCAACCGGAGGAGCUGACUGAUGGGAUAGAAAAUUAUGCUCACAGUAGCUUAGUCAGAAUGACAAACAGUCCCAGCAUGAUGGCUGUGAGCAGACCUCGUUGCAUACAGUGAAAUGAAAAAGAACGUCUUCUAGUGAUAAGAGGUGAAACCUAAAUGUUCCUUUGCAGACUGGACUUCAUGUCUCUAGAGGAAAUGUCAGGAAAAUUGAAAGUGUCAUGACUGGUACUUCCAAAUUAAAAGCAGCAAAUGCUACAGUCGUUUCAGCAAUUCAGAAGGAGAGGUAAAUCAACAGAGCAAGCCCUAAAGGAAUCUUUAGAAAACUGUAGACACACCGUGGUAAAUGGACAGCACUGGAAGAAACCAUCCUGAGUGAGGUAACCCAGUCGCAAAAAGAUAAACAUGACAGAAGUCUUUUCUAAGUGGCCUUCAAAGAGCUUGAGUGCCUUUGGGAACCCGAAUCUUGGUCUUUGGUUUUCAAAGUCUACAUCCCUUGGCUGUGGAGCUUCUAAUCUCCUUCCCCAGCUCCAGAAAGCCAUCUCCAACUCAGACUGAUGUAGCAACAGCAGAGUUCAACUUGGUUUUCUUCUGUAGCAGCUCUGUGUUGCUGGCAGCUGCAAGGAAACUUCCUUGGUCACAUUAGCGAAUGAUUAUAAACCCUUCCACCUAGCGUGAAAUAAUGCAGUGUCUUUUGACUCUCGGUGAAAAGACAGAAGUGACUAUCAAAGAAAUGUCACUUUGGAGUUUCAACGUUGACAAAGCUUUGAAGAUCUGUCAGAGCAUGGAAGCAGGUGAUUACCUCAAUUUCAUGGCCAGCCUGGACUGCAGAGCAACAACAACCAUUUUUGAAGAGUCCUUUAAAUGUCAUGCAAACGCAGUAUGUUGAUUCACUAUUAGCAACAUAAAUAUAAUCACACUAAAAAGGAGUAGAUGAGUGACAAUGGGAGCCUGAAGUGUUUCUUUCAAAUUUUAAUGAUGGUAGUUGUUCAUAUUAUUACAAUUUUGAAGUCUUAAGGAGGAAUUCACUAUCUAUAUUUGUAAUUUUUGUGUGCUAAUAAAUUUAUUUCACAAA